AGAGUUUGAUCCUGGCUCAGGACGAACGCUGGCGGCGGGCUUAACACAUGCAAGUCGCACGGGGCAGCAAUGCCCAGUGGCGCACGGGUGCGUAACACGUAGGUAACCUGCCCUCGAGUGGGGAAUAACUCCGGGAAACCGGAGCUAAUACCACAUAUUGUCCAGGGGCCACAUGGUCAUUGGAUGAAAGUCUUCGGGUGCUCGGGGAUGGGCCUGCGUCGGAUUAGGUAGUUGGUAGGGUAACGGCCUACCAAGCCAUUGAUCCGUAGCUGGUCUGAGAGGAUGAUCAGCCACACUGGCACUGAGACACGGGCCAGACUCCUACGGGAGGCAGCAGUGAGGAAUCUUGCGCAAUGGAGGAAACUCUGACGCAGCCACGCCGCGUGAAGGAUGACACCCCUAUGGGGCGUAAACUUCUUUUCUGUGAGAAGAAGGUCCGGUUUUGCCGGAUUUGACGGUAUCACAGGAAUAAGGACCGGCUAACUCCGUGCCAGCAGCCGCGGUAAUACGGAGGGUCCAAGCGUUGUCCGGAUUUAUUGGGUGUAAAGGGUGUGUAGGCGGACUUGUAAGUCAGGGGUGAAAGACCGCGGCUUAACCGUGGAAUUGCCUUUGAUACUGCAGGUCUUGAGUACCGGAGAGGCCAUUAGAAUUCGUGGUGUAGCGGUGAAAUGCGUAGAUAUCACGAGGAAUACCGGAAGCGUAGGCGAAUGGCUGGACGGCUACUGACGCUGAGGCACGAAAGCGUGGGGAGCAAACAGGAUUAGAUACCCUGGUAGUCCACGCUGUAGACGAUGGAUACUCGGUGUUGCGCUCCUUUAGGGGUGCAGUGCCUAAGCUAACGCGAUAAGUAUCCCACCUGGGGAGUACGCUCGCAAGAGUGAAACUCAAAGGAAUUGACGG
rnacentral:rRNA from 1 species